AAGUUGUUGCGGUUAAAAGCUCGUAGUUCGAGCUCAGUUCCGGACUGGCCGGGGAGGUCACCGCCCGGUGCUUCCCCGUCAGGCUCCGAACAGCUUCCGUGAGUGGAAGCCAAGCCGGUUCUGCCGGGGUGCUCUUCACCGAGUGUCCCGCGCGGCCGGCCAGUUCACCUUGAAUAAAUGAGAGUGCUCAAAGCAGGCUACUCUCGAAUACAAUGCCCGAAUGUUACCUGCAUGGAAUGAUGGAAGAUGAUCUCGGUUCCAUUUUCUUGGUGGUGGGAGCCAGAGGUAAUGAUAAAGAGGGACUGUCGGGGGCAUCCGUACUACGACGCGAGAGGUGAAAUUCAGUGACCGUCGUAGGACGAACAACAGCGAAAGCAUUUGCCAAGAAUGUCUUCGUUGAUCAAGAACGAAAGUUAGAGGAUCGAAGGCGAUCAGAUACCGCCCUAGUUCUAACCCUAAACGAUGCUGACCAGCAAUUCGCCGUCGUUAUUCCCAUGACGUGGCGAGACGCCCCCGGGAAACCUCGAGUCUUUGAGUUCCGGGGGUAGUAUGGUUGCAAAACUGAAACUUAAAGGAAUUGACGGAAGGGCACCACCAGGAGUGGAGCCUGCGGCUUAAUUUGACUCAACACGGGAAACCUCACCAGGCCCGGACACCAGAAGGAUUGACAGAUUAAGAGCUCUUUCUCGAUUUGGUGGGUGGUGGUGCAUGGCCGUUCUUAGUUGGUGGAGUGAUUUGUCUGGUUAAUUCCGGUAACGAACGAGACUCUGGCCUACUAAAUAGUGGACGGGCGUUUUGGUGCAUGGGCCCCGUUCGACACAGUCUUCUUAGAGGGAUGAGCAGCGAGUAUAGCUGCAGGAGAUUGAGCAAUAACAGGUCUGUGAUGCCCUUAGAUGUCCUGGGCCGCACGCGCGCUACACUGAAUGGGUUAGCGGGUUGUCCUUCUCCGAGAGGAGCGGGAAAUCGCGUGAAAACCAUUCGUGAUAGGGAUUGGGGCUUGCAAUUGUUUCCCAUGAACGAGGAAUUCCCAGUAAGCGCAAGUCAUCAGCUUGCGUUGAUUAAGUCCCUGCCCUUUGUACACACCGCCCGUCGCUACUACCGAUUGAAUGAUUUAGUGAGGCCUUCGGACUGGCGGUCUUGGACUGGGGCGGCGGGUUUCUCCCAGCAUGGGGUUCCGCCGACCCGCCUGGACGUGCCGGAAAGAUGUCCAAACUUGAUCAUUUAGAGGAAGUAAAAGUCGUAACAAGGUUUCCGUAG
rnacentral:rRNA from 1 species